rnacentral:rRNA from 1 species
GACAGAGGGUGCAAACGUUGUUCGGAAUUACUGGGCGUAAAGCGCGUGUAGGCGGCUUGGCAAGUCGGGUGUGAAAGCCCUGGGCUCAACCUAGGAAGUGCACUCGAAACUGCGGAGCUGGAGUCCUGGAGAGGAAGGCGGAAUUCUCGGUGUAGAGGUGAAAUUCGUAGAUAUCGAGAGGAACACCGGUGGCGAAGGCGGCCUUCUGGACAGUGACUGACGCUGAGACGCGAAAGCGUGGGGAGCAAACAGG